rnacentral:pre_miRNA from 1 species
ACAACAAAAUUCGGACCGUCGGUCUACGGAGCAAAUAUCAUGCGCUCGGUGGAAGAUCUUCCUUUCGUCGUAUGUU